rnacentral:rRNA from 1 species
UCGAGGGGCAGCAUGAACUUAGCUUGCUGAGUUUGAUGGCGACCGGCGCACGGGUGAGUAACACGUAUCCAACCUGCCGAUGACUCGGGGAUAGCCUUUCGAAAGAAAGAUUAAUACCCGAUGGCAUAGUCUUCCCGCAUGGGAUGAUUAUUAAAGAAUUUCGGUUGUCGAUGGGGAUGCGUUCCAUUAGGUUGUUGGCGGGGUAACGGCCCACCAAGCCUUCGAUGGAUAGGGGUUCUGAGAGGAAGGUCCCCACAUUGGAACUGAGACACGGUCCAAACUCC